GUAGGUGGCAAGCGUUGUCCGGAAUUAUUGGGCGUGAGCGCGCGCAGGUGGUUCUUUAAGUCUGAUGUGAAAGCCCCCGGCUCAACCGGGGAGGGUCAUUGGAAACUGGGGAACUUGAGUGCAGGAGAGGAAAGUGGAAUUCCACGUGUAGCGGUGAAAUGCGUAGAUAUGUGGAGGAACACCAGUGGCGAAGGCGACUUUCUGGCCUGUAACUGACACUGAGGCGCGAAAGCGUGGGGAGCAAACAGGGAUUAGAUACCCUGGUAGUCCACGCCGUAAACGAUGAGUGCUAAGUGUUGGGGGGGUUUCCCGCCCCUCAGUGCUGCAGCUAACGCAUUAAGCACUCCGCCUGGGGAUACGGUCGCAAGACUG
rnacentral:rRNA from 1 species